AAUGCUCUGGAGAGUGAAUAGUUUGAACUUUCUUUCUGUGACCACUAACUGCUGCUCAGCUUGUACAGAAGAUAAGGCAGAUCAUCUCUCUUUUGUGGGGGAAAUGGAGACAAGGGUCUGAGAACUUGAAGUCUGGGGUAUGAGUAGGAACUUCUGUCAUGAACCUUCCAUUGUGCUCCUUUGGCAGGAACUUCUGAGGCUCCCUUUACUCCCUGCUGUCUGUGACAUAGAAGCUGCAGAGGAAACUGUCUCAUAAGGGUUUUGUAGGAGCAGAGCCAACGAUUCUUACCCAGGGCCUACGGAAAUCAAAGUCAAAGGAAACUGCUGCCUAGAUAUCAAGGAGUGUGAAUCUGAGACCCAGAUGAUAAGUACAGUGCAUGGAUUGAGUUGAUGAAAAAUGUUUCUCUUUUUUUUCCUACCUUUACAAGUUGAUGACUUCAGUUUCAAGAUUUUUCCUUGUUACAUCAAUAAUUCCUUGGAUUAAAGAAAGAAAGCAACAGCUUCAUGAAGAAGUUGGAGAUUUAUUUUCAUCUAGAAUUAGUGACGUGUCCUUGCAAGUUUGCGCCUGUUCGUAUUCCAGCUCCUGAACUAUGGAUUCAGGCUGCCUGCGUUAGCGACGUUCCUCUGAAACAAUCAAAACGUGCGCUCCUGCGAGCAGAGGGGAGCGAGACUCGUGCCCAUGCGUACGGCCUGAGUCAAACGGCGGAGAAAGGCCUGUUCAGUGUCGCGUGCAAGCAGGACGUGGGAUGGCAUUGCCUGGACAGAAUGUGGGCAUGUUAGGCUUGUGUUUUAUAGCUGUGGCAUUCAGUCCCCUUUUUUCAAAAUACCAACUUGCUUACUAAGGUGUUUUUUUCCUGUUAGUUUACCGAGGACGUAUUUUUGGAUUAAACAUGCUCUCUUAAAACUUUGGUUAUAUUCAUUUUAAAGUUCAGUUACUAGUGGGUUUUUUUGAACAUGGAAUCUGGACCUACAAAGGGCCAAAACUACAAAAACGUUGAUUUCUUUGGAAGUUUACAUUAGGAUGUUGCUAGUUUUAGUGAACUUAUCACCACAUAAUUCUUGUCUAGGCUUUAUUUAUUUAUUUAAGCUACAGCUUCUUGAAUGGUCACCUGAGUACCUCACUAACUGCUAAAAAAAAAAAAAAGAGAGAGAGAGAGAAAACCUAACUACUCUGAAUAAUAUUGGGAGUUGUGAAAGCCAAGCUUAAAUCAGGAUUGAUUAAUAAAACCCCUCUCUUCCCUGCUCUCCCGCCUCUU
ensembl:lncRNA